rnacentral:tRNA from 1 species
CCAAAAAUCGAAUUUUUACGAAAUUGGCAUUUUUGGCCACUGUUAGGAAAGUCCAACUAACAGCGUUUUUUUAGA